rnacentral:rRNA from 1 species
GAUGAACGCUGGCGGCGUGCUUAACACAUGCAAGUCGAGCGAAGCACUUAAGACAGAUUCUUCGGAUGAAGUCUUCUGUGACUGAGCGGCGGACGGGUGAGUAACGCGUGGGUAACCUGCCUCAUACAGGGGGAUAACAGUUAGAAAUGACUGCUAAUACCGCAUAAGACCACGGUACCGCAUGGUACAGUGGUAAAAACUCCGGUGGUAUGAGAUGGACCCGCGUCUGAUUAGGUAGUUGGUGGGGUAACGGCCUACCAAGCCGACGAUCAGUAGCCGACCUGAGAGGGUGACCGGCCACAUUGGGACUGAGACACGGCCCAGACUCCUACGGGAGGCAGCAGUGGGGAAUAUUGCACAAUGGAGGAAACUCUGAUGCAGCGACGCCGCGUGAAGGAUGAAGUAUUUCGGUAUGUAAACUUCUAUCAGCAGGGAAGAAAAUGACGGUACCUGACUAAGAAGCCCCGGCUAACUACGUGCCAGCCGCCGCCGUAACAC